AAAGUAGGUCAGGCGAUCGCGUUCCGACGUGUUUCGGAAUGAGGAAAGUCCGAACUCCACAGGGCAGGGUGGUCCGUAACACGGACUUUGGGCGACCAAAGGAAAGUGCCACAGAAAGCAGACAUCUCCGGCGCCGCCGGAGUUAAGGUGAAAGGGCGAGGUAAGAGCUCACCGCUUUGAUGGUGACAUCAAAGGCAUGGUAAACCCCACCCGGAGCAAGACCAAGUAAGAGGGAAGAGGCGGCCCGUCUCGUUUGACCCUCGGGUAGGUCGCUUGAGGCGCCGGGCAACCGGCGUCCCAGAUAAAUGAUCGCCAUCCCGCUGGUUCGGGAUACAGAAUUCGGCUUAUCGACCUACUUUGGGU
rnacentral:RNase_P_RNA from 2 species